UCAGCCGGGGUUUCCCGGCGGGAAUAGGCGAUGAUGAGGGCGUUCCAAGAAUCGAUGCCUUUCUUCGGCAUAUUGUCGAACAGUUUGUAGGCCAUGUCGAUGUCGCCAGUUCGAGCGUAUGAUGCUAUUAGCUGCGCUCCUUUGUUGGAUAUCCCAGAUGUAAUCAUCAAUGCGUGGAGUUUGGAGAUGGAUGCACUGUUUCUGCAGUUCAACAGAAGAGAUUUUAGAUCCUUUAGCAACCAUUUUUGUACAAGCAUUUGAUGCUGGGGAGAGAAUGUUUUGCAAAUUGCGUGAAUCAGCAGCAUAAAUAAGCGAUGUUCAUAAUCAUAAGUCAUAACUCGUAUCAAAAGGACAAAAGCUAAAAAAUACAAAAAUAAUUGUGUAAAAACGCCGUCUGUGGGAAUCGAACCCACGACCACGUGGUUAAAAGCCACGCGCUCUACCAGCUGAGCUAAGACGGCUUCACAUCUAUGAGUCUCAAAACAAAACUCAAAAUCGAUAUUAAAAUUCCAAAUCACUUUUUUUUACGCGCUUGUAAGACAAAGUUUCUCAAUAAUGACAUAUUGAUCCAACAAAAAUCAUUGAAACUCUAUGAUCGAGUUUUGAUUUGAGACUCACUAAGUUCAGAGAUUCAGACUAGUACGAGUACAAAAUAGAACAUGGACAAAACAUGAAGACUGAAAUAUGUAAACGUUGGUGCUACAAGAUAGUAUCCUAGGGAUAAAAUACAACAAAAUAUUAAAACAUUAAAGAAUCUUUUGUGUAAUUUACAAGUUAUGUUGAGGUGUUCGUUAUUUGCUAAGUGUCCCAAAAUUAAAUAGGACAUUUCAAAAAGGACAAUCCAAAUAGAAAAGUAAGAUGCUUUAAGUGGGACGGAGAGUAUCAUAAAUCAUAAUCCCCUUCUCCAAUAUGUGAAUCCUUCAUCAUUCACCGCCGCGGCCACCCAUCGAAAAUUUUGCCAGGCAACUGCGACAUCAACCUUGGCGACUUCUUCUUCGAAUGGUUCAACAACCUCAACACCAAAAAUUAAGGGAUUUUGUCAAUCAACAUACCAAUUUUGUGUACGAAUCAUACACCUAAUUCUGUUUCAUUCUCAAUACCCUUAGGUGCGUUCUCUUUGGUUGUAAAAUUAUCAUGAGAAAAUGAUAGAAAUGAAAAGGUGGGAAAAUUUUAUCAUUUCCACUCUUGUUAUCUCAUGUUCUCUUUGAUGGAAAUUUUUUUAUCAUAUACUUCAUUUAUCCUAUACACAUGUUCUCUUUAUUGGAAAAUGAUGGAUAAAUUGUUAAAUGACAAUAUUACCCUUAUUAUUGACUUACUUAUUUUAUGCCAUACUUUCAAUUUUAUUUUAUGACAUACUUCAUUUUUUUUUUUAUAAUUUUUCUCGCCACCUCCACCCCCACCCCUCCCCACCAAACCCUUCCCCCCAAUUUUUUUUAAUUUUUCUCGCCACCUCCACCCCACCCCACUACCCCACGCCCCCACCCACCCACACCAAUUUUUUUUUAAAAAAAUCUCGCCACCUUCACCCANGGAAUAGGCGAUGAUGAGGGCGUUCCAAGAAUCGAUGCCUCUCUUUGGCAUAUUUUCGAACAGUUUGUAGGCCAUGUCGAUGUCGCCAGUCCGAGCGUAUGAUGCUAUUAGCUGCGCUCCUUUGUUGGAUAUACCAGAUGUAAUCAUCAAUGCGUGGAGUUUGGAGAUGGAUGCACUGUUUCCGCAGUUGAAGAGAAGAGAUUUUAGAAACCAUUUUUGUACAAGCAUUUGAUGCCGGGGAGAGAAUGUGUUCAGCAGCAUAAAUAAGCGAUGUUCAUAAUCG
rnacentral:lncRNA from 1 species